UACGGGGGGGGCAAGCGUUGUUCGGAAUUACUGGGCGUAAAGGGCUCGUAGGCGGCCAACUAAGUCAGACGUGAAAUCCCUCGGCUCAACCGGGGAACGACGCAUGAAACUGGCAAGCUAGAGUACCAAAGAGGGGGGUGGAAUUCCCGGUGUAGCGGUGAAAUGCGUAGAUAUGCGGAGGAACACCGAUGGCGAAGGCAAUCCCCUGGGCCUGCACUGACGCUCAUGCACGAAAGCGUGGGGAGCAAACAGG
rnacentral:rRNA from 1 species